CAAGUUCACCUAACGGAAAAAAACGAAAAGACGCAAAAUCAUUCAUCGUGGGACAACAUGCAGCACCAAACUAUAUAGGAAUUAAACACCUUCACGUCUUUUCUAUCACCAAACCGAGUCUGUUCUAUCACAUCUAAGCGACAAUUUCGUGGUGCUUUCAAUAGUAUUGAAGACUGUUUUGAAAGUUCCCAGAUGGAUAUGCGGAGCACUGGCGGAGUCAGGUUGACGGGUCUGACGGAGUCCUCUCCAAAACCCCAGAGAUUCCAGACACCAAUGCCAGCAAGGGAUGCUCACUCCUCUACUGUAGCUGUGUGGUAGCCUGUAUGGGUCCUGGUAAGUGCCACUGCACUGGUAAGUGCUUUUUUUGUGUGUGUUAUUUGACUAAAAUAUAAUAUUGAUCCUUAACAUGGUGAAAAGCCUAAUAUAACUUUUCACUUUGGCAUAGUUCUGAAGUUGUGUUUAUUUAAGGCCUCAACAAUGGUCCUUUUGGUCACAACAUGUGAUUUUUGACACUAUAGUGAU